AGAGCGAACGCUGGCGGCAGGCCUAACACAUGCAAGUCGAACGAUCCUUCGGGGUAGUGGCGGACGGGUGAGUAACACGUGGGAACGUGCCCUUUGGUUCGGAAUAACUCAGGGAAACUUGAGCUAAUACCGGAUGAGCCCUUCGGGGGAAAGAUUUAUCGCCAUUGGAGCGGCCCGCGUUGGAUUAGCUAGUUGGUGGGGUAAAGGCCCACCAAGGCUACGAUCCAUAGCUGGUCUGAGAGGAUGAUCAGCCACACUGGGACUGAGACACGGCCCAGACUCCUACGGGAGGCGGCAGUGGGGAAUCUUGCGCAAUGGGCGAAAGCCUGACGCAGCCAUGCCGCGUGAAUGAUGAAGGUCUUAGGAUUGUAAAAUUCUUUCACCGGGACGAUAAUGACGGUACCCGGAGAAGAAGCCCGGCUAACUCGUGCCAGCAGCCGC
rnacentral:rRNA from 1 species